GAUUAUGGCUCAGAGCGAACGCUGGCGGCAGGCUUAACACAUGCAAGUCGAGCGCCCCGCAAGGGGAGCGGCAGACGGGAGAGUAACACGUGGGAACGUACCUUUCAGUUCGGGACAACCAAGGGAAACUUUGGCUAAUACCGAAUACGCCCGUAAGGGGAAAGAUUUAUCGCUGAAAGAUCGGCCCGCGUCUGAUUAGCUAGUUGGUGGGGUAAUGGCCCACCAAGGCGACGAUCAGUAGCUGGUCUGAGAGGAUGAUCAGCCUCACUGGGACUGAGACACGGCCCAGACUCCUACGGGAGGCAGCAGGUGGGGAAUAUUGGACAAUGGGCGCAAGCCCUGAUCCAGCCAUGCCGCGUGGAUGAUGAAGGCCGUUAGGGUUAGUAAAGUUCCUUUUAACGGGGAAGAUAAUGACGGUACCCGUAGAAUAAGCCCCGGCUAACUUCGUGCCAGCAGCCGC
rnacentral:rRNA from 1 species